rnacentral:rRNA from 1 species
UACGUAGGGUGCAAGCGUUGUCCGGAAUUAUUGGGCGUAAAGAGCUCGUAGGCGGUUUGUCGCGUCUGCUGUGAAAACUCGGGGCUUAACUCCGGGCCUGCAGUGGGUACGGGCAGACUAGAGUGCGGUAGGGGAGACUGGAAUUCCUGGUGUAGCGGUGAAAUGCGUAGAUAUCGUCAGGAACGCCAAUGGUGAAGACAGGUAACUGGGCUAGUUCUGACACUGAGGCACGAAAGCGUGGGGAGCGAACGGG